UGGUAGUGUAUUGGACUACCAUGGCAGUCACGGGUAACGGGGAAUUAGGGUUCGAUUCCGGAGAGGGAGCCUGAGAAACGGCUACCACAUCUAAGGAAGGCAGCAGGCGCGUAAAUUACCCAAUCCUGACUCAGGGAGGUAGUGACAAGAAAUAACAACUCGGGAGAUCUAAUCUCUUCGAGAUUGCAAUGAGAACAAUUUAAAACCCUUAACGAGGAACAAUUGGAGGGCAAGUCUGGUGCCAGCAGCCGCGGUAAUUCCAGCUCCAAUAGCGUAUAUUAAAGUUGUUGCAGUUAAAAAGCUCGUAGUUGAACUUCUGGUGGUGCUGCAGCGUGGCUUCGUGCCUGUUGUAGCGCCAUCAUCCGUUUGCGAACUACGUUCGGCCUUCACUGGUCGGCGUAGGGAGCAAACACUUUACCUUGAAAAAAUUAGAGUGUUUCAGGCAGGCAAUCGCCGGAAUACAUUAGCAUGGAAUAAUGGAAUAGGACUAUUGACCAUUUUGUUGGUUAUUGGACGAUAGUAAUGAUUAAUAGGGACAGUUGGGGGCAUUAGUAUUUAAUUGUCAGAGGUGAAAUUCUUGGAUUUAUUAAAGACUAACUUAUGCGAAAGCAUUUGCCAAGGAUGUUUUCAUUAAUCAAGAACGAAAGUUAGGGGAUCAAAGACGAUCAGA
rnacentral:rRNA from 1 species